GAAACCCCAGACAGCUGUGGACCCAAACGCAGCAGGUAGUAGACGUACUUUAUGCGGAUGUUAUUUUAAUGAACAAAAUAAAUCCAAAAUCCAGGGAAAACAAGAAAAUCCAAAACACAAUGAAGCAAGAGACACGAGGGAUAACAAAGGUAUUGACUGGCAACGUGGUGAGCAGGUUAACAAGCUGGACUGGCGAGUGGUGACUGAAACAGAGGAGCUGAAGUACUGGGAGGUAGUAAUAGGAACAAUGGCCUAGCUAGGUGAGAAGAGUGAUAGCAGGUGUGAGUAAUAUGUAUAGAAAAUGUAAUACAAUUAAAAAAGAAGAGAAUAUAUCCAGAAUAAGAUUUGGACAUAUGUGGUGCACCUAAAAAAAUGCCACCACAGUAUUUGUUUUUACAAUUUAUUCUACUUUCUAAAACAAUUAACAAAUUACACUUUAUUUGCAGUUCGGCAUGUUAACCUGCCUACAUUUAUAGUACUUUCUUGAGGUGGGGA